rnacentral:rRNA from 1 species
GACGAACGCUGGCGGCGUGCUUAACACAUGCAAGUCGAGCGGAAAGGCCCUUCGGGGUACUCGAGCGGCGAACGGGUGAGUAACACGUGAGUAAUCUGCCCUUGGCUUUGGGAUAACUACCGGAAACGGUGGCUAAUACCGGAUACGACAACCGUCUGCAUGGCUGGUUGUGGAAAGUUUUUUCGGCCAGGGAUGUGCUCGCGGCCUAUCAGCUUGUUGGUGGGGUAAUGGCCUACCAAGGCUUCGACGGGUAGCCGGCCUGAGAGGGUGACCGGCCACACUGGGACUGAGACACGGCCCAGACUCCUACGGGAGGCAGCAGUGGGGAAUAUUGGACAAUGGGCGGAAGCCUGAUCCAGCAACGCCGCGUGAGGGAUGACGGCCUUCGGGUUGUAAACCUCUUUCAGUACCGACGAAGCGCCGAUGAUGGUGGUGACGGUAGGUACAGAAGAAGCACCGGCCAACUACGUG